rnacentral:lncRNA from 1 species
GAUUGAUUUGAGCAAGCAUGUUAUGAAUAUUUAGAAAUGUCUUCUAGGGAAGCAAGCUGGCGCUCACCGAUUUUGGUUUGCCAGGCAUAUCAGAAGGCACUUUGUGACAGGUGCAGUAGGGACGCGGAGUGAUCUCUUCACGUGUAGGCAAUGCCCAGCCCACACCUAGGCCUUGCCUGAGUCUGGCCAUGCAGUUCUUGCCCUAAGGAAGAACAGGAAAAUAUAGCGCGUGGUUGACUGUCAGGCCCUCUGCCCCUUCCCUCGUCACAGCCACCUUCAGGGCUGCUUUCUCUCCAUUUUCCUGAGGCCGAGAAAGAGGAGGUAGCUGGCACAAUGCCACAUCUGCACUGCUCCAGGCAACCUUCGGUAGUCGGCUGUUGCUUGGGUCCAGCUUCCUUUCCAUGAAAGCUCAGCCAUUCUAGCAAAAAAGCAGGGGCUGUUUUCAUCUUCUGAGAGAAUCCCAUGACACUGGUGAGCAGAGGCGGCCAGUGGGACACCCGUGCAGGGAAGCAGGCAAAUGCAGGGACCAGCCACCCGCAUCCCUCCUUUCUACUCCCUCUCCUCCUCCUACCUGGUCACUGUGUACCUUCUUCCUGUCUCAUCAGAGAGGAAGGAUCCAGUGA